rnacentral:misc_RNA from 1 species
AACGCACAUUGCGCCCUUUGGCAUUCCGAAGGGCAUGCCUGUUCGAGCGUCAUUAUCACCCCUCAAGCUUGGCUUGGUGUUGGACUUUUUCUACGGGCCUCCGGGCCCGGGUCCCAAAGAUAAUGACAGGCUUGACGGAAGCCUCGGUACAAUGAGUCUUGCACAAGGCACGUAUCGCAGUUUGUUUCUGUCCGGCUUGGUCUUAACCACAAAUUUUUCUAAGGUUGACCUCGGAUCAGGUAGGAAUACCCGCUGAACUUAA